rnacentral:rRNA from 1 species
ACGGCUCAGUAACACGUGGACAACCUACCCUUAGGUCGGGGAUAAACCCGGGAAACUGGGUAUAAUACCCGAUAGUCCUCGGAUGCUGGAAUGCACCGAGGUCUAAAGCUCCGGCGCCUAAGGAUGGGUCUGCGGCCUAUCAGGUAGUAGUGGGUGUAGCGUACCUACUAGCCUACGACGGGUACGGGUUGUGAGAGCAAGAGCCCGGAGAUGGAUUCUGAGACACGAAUCCAGGCCCUACGGGGUGCAGCAGGCGCGAAAACUUUACAAUGCUGGAAACAGCGAUAAGGGAACCUCGAGUGCCAGGUUACAAAUCUGGCUGUCGUGAUGCCUAAAAAGCAUUGCAUAGCAAGGGCCGGGCAAGACCGGUGCCAGCCGCCGCGGUAACACCGGCGGCUCGAGUGGUAACCGCUAUUAUUGGGUCUAAAGGGUCUGUAGCCGGCCGGAUAAGUCUUUUGGGAAAUCUGGCAGCUUAACUGUCAGGCUUUCAGAGGAUACUGUCUGGCUCGAGGCCGGGAGAGGUGAGAGGUACUUCAGGGGUAGGGGUGAAAUCUUGUAAUCCUUGAAGGACCACCAGUGGCGAAGGCGUCUCACCAGAACGGACCUGACGGCAAGGGACGAAAGCUAGGGGCACGAACCGGAUUAGAUACCCGGGUAGUCCUAGCCGUAAACGAUACUCGCUAGGUGUCGGCCACGGUGCGACCGUUGUCGGUGCCGUAGGGAAGCCGUGAAGCGAGCCACCUGGGAAGUACGGCCGCAAGGCUGAAACUUAAAGGAAUUGGCGGGGGAACAC